rnacentral:rRNA from 1 species
AGGACGAACGCUGGCGGCGCGCUUAACACAUGCAAGUCGAGCGAGAACCAGACCUUCGGGUCUGGGACAGCGGCGAACGGGUGAGUAACACGUGGGUAAUCAACCCUCGGUACUGGGAUAGCCCGGGGAAACCCGGAUUAAUACCGGAUGGCCCUUCGGAUCUUCGGUUCUGAAGGAAAGGUAGCUUCGGCCUCCGACCGAGGACGAGCCCGCGGCGGAUUAGCUUGUUGGUGGGUAACGGCCUACCAAGGCGGCGAUCCGUAGCUGGUCUGAGAGGACGAUCAGCCACACUGGGACUGAGACACGGCCCAGACUCCUACGGGAGGCAGCAGUGGGGAAUCUUGCGCUAAUGCGGGAAACCGUGACGCAGCGAACCGCCGCGUGAGGGAAGAAGGCCUUCGGGUUGUAAACCUCUUUCAGGAGGGACGAAGCUACUCGGGUUAAUAGCCCAGAGGGUGACGGUACCUCCAGAAGAAGCCCCGGCUAACUACGUGCCAGCCGCGGC